rnacentral:rRNA from 1 species
CCUACGGGGGGCAGCAGUAGGGAAUCUUUCACAAUGGGCGAAAGCCUGAUGGAGCAACGCCGCGUGCAGGAUGAAGGCCUUCGGGUUGUAAACUGCUUUUAUAAGCGAGAAAUAUGAUGGUAACUUAUGAAUAAGGAUCGGCUAACUACGUGCCAGCAGCCGCGGUCAUUCGUAGGAUCCGAGCAUUAUCCGGAGUGACUGGGUGUAAAGAGUUGCGUAGGUGGCAUAAUAAGUAGCUAGUGAAAUCUGGUGGCUCAACCAUUCAGACUAUUAGCUAAACUGUUAAGCUCGAGACCGUUAGGGGUAACUGGAAUUUCUAGUGUAGGAGUGAAAUCCGUAGAUAUUAGAAGGAACACCAAUAGCGUAGGCAGGUUGCUGGGACGGUUCUGACACUAAGGCACGAAAGCGUAGGGAGCAAACGGGAUUAGAUACCCGAGUAGUC